ACUAAAAUCACAUCACAUGAUUUACACUAGCAGGCUCUUGCUGUAAAGUUAUAGCAGGGAGCUAACUGCAAAGACUUUGCUGAUGCAAAGACACACCAUCAAAGAUUAAACUAUGCAGCUCAAGAAAUGCAGAAUCCCUGUUUGCAUAGUAUUUUUGUCCUUAGAAUAAUUUUCUUUUGGAUGGGCUGUGUAGGAUAUCUGGCUCUGUCUGACAGGAGGCUCAGCUGAACACACCAGCCCUAUCACGCAGAGGUGCUGAACCGAGGGCUGAAGGUUCCAGGAUUUGCACUUCAAACUGAAGAUCAGCUCCCAAGCUCUGUAAAAAUGAGAAGCAGAAACCCUGGCUGAAGUCAGCAUUGUCAGAGUUUUAUAAAUCCUGCUGCAGAGCUCCAGCUGGGCUACACUCCAAGAGCAUUUAUUUGGAUAAUAACCAAAAUAAAAUAAAAAUUAAACUCUCCCUGCAACCCGUUCUAUUCCUCACUGUUCUUGCAGACUUAUUUUAAAAGACCUUGAGACCUAAAGAAGCGCUGUUUGCUCAGAAAAGUAAAAGUUGGAGACUGGUAGCAAUAAAAUAGUUUUUGAAUUUG